rnacentral:rRNA from 1 species
UACAGAGGGUGCAAGCGUUAUUCGGAAUUAUUGGGCGUAAAGAGCGUGUAGGCUGUUUGAUAAGUCUAGUGUGAAAGCCCUGGGCUCAACCCAGGAAGUGCAUUGGAUACUGUCGAGCUAGAGUGCAGGAGAGGAAAGCGGAAUUCCAGGUGUAGAGGUGAAAUUCGUAGAUAUCUGGAGGAACAACAGUGGCGAAGGCGGCUUUCUGGACUGUUACUGACGCUAAGGCGCGAAAGCGUGGGGAGCAAACAGG